rnacentral:rRNA from 1 species
CAGUCGCCGCGGGAAUACGUAGGGUGCAAGCGUUGUCCGGAAUUAUUGGGCGUAAAGAGCUCGUAGGCGGUUUGUCGCGUCUGCUGUGAAAUCUGGGGGCUCAACCCCCAGCCUGCAGUGGGUACGGGCAGACUAGAGUGCGGUAGGGGAGAUUGGAAUUCCUGGUGUAGCGGUGGAAUGCGCAGAUAUCAGGAGGAACACCGAUGGCGAAGGCAGAUCUCUGGGCCGUAACUGACGCUGAGGAGCGAAAGCAUGGGGAGCGAACAGGAUUAGAUACCCCCGUAGUCCCUGUCUCUUAUAC